UAGUCCACGCCGUAAACGAUGGAUACUAGCUGUUCGGUAGCAAUACUGAGUGGCUAAGCGAAAGUGAUAAGUAUCCCACCUGGGGAGUACGUUCGCAAGAAUGAAACUCAAAGGAAUUGACGGGGGCCCGCACAAGCGGUGGAGCAUGUGGUUUAAUUCGAUGAUACGCGAGGAACCUUACCAGGGCUUAAAUGUAGUCUGACAGGACUGGAAACAGUUUUUUCUUCGGACAGAUUACAAGGUGCUGCAUGGUUGUCGUCAGCUCGUGCCGUGAGGUGUCAGGUUAAGUCCUAUAACGAGCGCAACCCCUGUUGUUAGUUGCCAUCGAGUAAUGUCGGGAACUCUAACAAGACUGCCGGUGCAAACCGUGAGGAAGGUGGGGAUGACGUCAAAUCAUCACGGCCCUUACGUCCUGGGCCACACACGUGCUACAAUGGUAGGUACAGAGAGCAGCCACGUCGCGAGGCGGAGCGAAUCUAUAAAACCUAUCUCAGUUCGGAUCGGAGU
rnacentral:rRNA from 1 species